AGUGAACGCUGGCGGUAGGCCUAACACAUGCAAGUCGAACGGCAGCACAGUAAGAGCUUGCUCUUACGGGUGGCGAGUGGCGGACGGGUGAGGAAUACAUCGGAAUCUACUUUUUCGUGGGGGAUAACGUAGGGAAACUUACGCUAAUACCGCAUACGACCUACGGGUGAAAGCAGGGGAUCUUCGGACCUUGCGCGAUUGAAUGAGCCGAUGUCGGAUUAGCUAGUUGGCGGGGUAAAGGCCCACCAAGGCGACGAUCCGUAGCUGGUCUGAGAGGAUGAUCAGCCACACUGGAACUGAGACACGGUCCAGACUCCUAUGGGAGGCAGCAGUGGGGAAUAUUGGACAAUGGGCGCAAGCCUGAUCCAGCCAUACCGCGUGGGUGAAGAAGGCCUUCGGGUUGUAAAGCCCUUUUGUUGGGAAAGAAAAGCAGCAGGUUAAUACCCCGCUGUUCUGACGGUACCCAAAGAAUAAGCACCGGCUAACUUCGUGC
rnacentral:rRNA from 1 species